rnacentral:rRNA from 1 species
GGGGCGCAGCAGGCGAGAAACCUUAGCAAUGUGCGAAAGCACGACUGGGUCAGUCCGAGUGAUUCCUGAUAAAGGAGUCUUUUGCUUGUCCUAAAAGCACAGGUGAAUAAGGGGUGGGCAAGUCUGGUGUCAGCCGCCGCGGUAAUACCAGCACCUCGAGUGGUCAGGACGUUUAUUGGGCCUAAAGCAUCCGUAGCCGGCUUUGCAAGUCUUCGGUUAAAUCCACCUGCUCAACAGAUGGGCAGCUGGAGAUACUACAGAGCUAGGGAGUGGGAGAGGCAGACGGUAUUCAGUGGGUAGGGGUAAAAUCCUCUGAUCCAUUGAGGACCACCAGUGGCGAAGGCGGUCUGCCAGAACACGUUCGACGGUGAGGGAUGAAAGCUGGGGGAGCAAACCGGAUUAGAUACCCGGGUAGUCCCAGCUGUAAACGAUGCAAACUCGGUGAUGCAUUGGCUUAUGGCCAAUGCAGUGCCGCAGGGAAGCCGUUAAGUUUGCCGCCUGGAAGUACG